GACGAACGCUGGCGGCGUGCUUAACACAUGCAAGUCGAACGAUGAAAGAGAAUCCGAUCUCUUCGGAGUGAAGAAUCUCUGGAUUAGUGGCGGACGGGUGAGUAACGCGUGAGCAAUCUGCCUUACACAAAGGGAUAGCCUCGGGAAACCGGGAUUAAUACCAUAUGAUAUCUAUUAACCGCAUGGUUUAUAGAUUAAAGAAUUUCGGUGUAAGAUGAGCUCGCGUCCCAUUAAUUAGUUGGUGAGGGUAACGGCCCACCCAGAUAGCGAUGGGUAGCCGAUCUAAGAGGAUGACCGGCCACAUUGGAACUGAGAAACGGUCCAAACUCCUACGGGAGGCAGCAGUGGGGAAUAUUGCACAAUGGGGGAAACCCUGAUGCAGCGACGCCGCGUGAGCGAUGAAGGCUUUCGAGUCGUAAAGCUCUGUCCUAUGGGAAGAUAAUGACGGUACCAUAGAAGAAAGCCCCGGCUAAUUACGUGCCAGCCGCCGCGGUAA
rnacentral:rRNA from 2 species